rnacentral:rRNA from 1 species
CUGGCUCAGGACGAACGCUGGCGGCGUGCCUAAUACAUGCAAGUCGAGCGAGCUUGCCUAGAUGAUUUUACUGCUUGCACUAAACGAAACUAGAUACAAGCAAGCGGCGGACGGGUGAGUGACACGUGGGUAACCUGCCCAAGAAACUGGGAUAACACCUGGAAACAGAUGCUAAUACCGGAUAACAACUCUAGACGCAUGUCUCGAGUUGGAAAGAUGGGUCUGCUAUCACUCUUGGAUGGACCUGCGGGGCAUUAGCUAGUUGGUAAGGUAACGGCUUACCAAGGCAAUGAUGCAUAGCCGAGUUGAGAGACUGAUCGGCCACAAUGGAACUGAGACACGGUCCAUACUCCUACUGGAGGCAGCAGUAGGGAAUCUUCCACAAUGGGCGCAAGCCUGAUGGAGCAACACCGCGUGAGUGAAGAAGGGUUUCGUGCUCGUAAAGCUCUGUUUUUGGAGAAGAACGUGAGUGAGAGUAACUGUUUACGCAGUGACGGUAUCCAACCAGAAAGUCACGGCUAACUACGUGCCAGCAGCCGCGGUAAUACGUAGGUGGCAAGCGUUAUCCGGAUUUAUUGGGCGUAAAGCGAGCGCAGGCGGUUGCUUAGGUCUGAUGUGAAAGCCUUCGGCUUAACCGAAGAAGUGCAUCGGAAACCGGGCGACUUGAGUGCAGAAGAGGACAGUGGAACUCCAUGUGUAGCGGUGGAAUGAGUAGAUAUAUGGAAGAACACCAGUGGCGAAGGCGGCUGUCUGGUCUGCAACUGACGCUGAGGCUCGAAAGCAUGGGUAGCGAACAGGAUUAGAUACCCUGGUAGUCCAUGCCGUAAACGAUGAGUGCUAGGUGUUGGAGGGUUUCCGCCCUUCAGUGCCGGAGCUAACGCAUUAAGCAUUCCGCCUGGGGAGUACGACCGCAAGGUUGAAACUCAAAGGAAUUGACGGGGGCCCGCCCAAGCGGUGGAGCAUGUGGUUUAAUUGGAAGCUACGGGAAGACCCUUACCAGGUCUUGACAUCUUGCGCUAACCUUAGAGAUAAGGCGUUCCCUUCGGGGACGCAAUGACAGGUGGUGCAUGGUUGUUGUCAGCUCGUGUCGUGAGAUGUUGGGUUAAGUCCCGCAACGAGCGCAACCCUUGUUACUAGUCGCCAGCAUUAAGUUGGGCACUCUAGUGAGACUGCCGGUGACAAACCGGAGGAAGGUGGGGACGACGUCAGAUCAUCAUGCCCCUUAUGUCCUGGGCUACACACGUGCUACAAUGGCCGGUACAACGAGUAGCAAGCUCGCGAGAGUAAGCUAAUCUCUUAAACCCGUUUUCAGUUCGGACUGUAGGCUGCAACUCGCCUACACGAAGUCGGAAUCGCUAGUAAUCGCGGAUCAGCAUGCCGCGGUGAAUACGUUCCCGGGCCUUGCACUCACCGCCCGUCA